GAUCUCUUCUGUGACAAUAGUAAAUUGAAUCAGAUCUGUUCAUAAAAUAUCCGGAUUUAAAUUACAAUUGUAAUUUCGCUAAAUAGCCUGGGUUGGAUAAGUAUGUGUGUGUGUGUGAAGCGAAGCAACAACACAUCUACAAAAUCUACAGAUCAACUCAUCUUUGCCGGACGUGUAUAAAUGAGAGUUCUUCAUUUUAUUCUGAACUAUUGAACAUGGAAAAGAGAAUUAAACCGUCAACAUCGAUCGUUCCGAAAAGCAAUCAAACGAUCCGGAAUGAUGCGAUGCACGAUAGAUUUCACUCUGUCGUGCUUGAGAAGCUCGCUGACAUAAAAUUUAUGUUUAAUUUUGAAAAUGGCGUUGUUCCAGUGGCGGCAAAUAAAGCGGUCUUAUCAGCAUCGAGCCCGGUAUUUAACAAAAUGUUUAGCGAAAGACACGAAGCAAAGAUACAAAUGGAAGAAAAAUCUCCGGCAGCAUUUCAAGAAUUCCUCCAAUUCUUUUAUAAAGAUCGUGUUAUGCUAACGAUGAAAAACAUUGGUGACGUUUUGUUGCUGGUUCAUAAGUACGAAGUAGCCGAUUGCAUACCUGUUUGCACAAAAUUCUUAAAAAAACAUCUAACAAUCGAGGACAGUCUAUGGGCGUUGUUCUUCGCAAUAAAAUUCAAAGACGAUGAUUUGAAAAAAAAUUGCGAAAAAAAAUACAAGAAAAUGUAACAAAAGCGAUUGAUAUGUUCAACAUUAGUGAUUUUGAUCACGUCCGCUUGUCACCGCAUCCAAAUAAUAAUCGAUUCAUUCCGGACAACAUCGUGUCAAAUUUAUUUGUACGUGUUGUCGCUCUUCUGAAAAAUGUUAAGAUACCGCAAUUGAGUGGUCAAAACAAACCUUAAAUUACUUGAAUUUACAUCAAUAAAAAUUAUUGUAUCAAAAGUCA